rnacentral:misc_RNA from 1 species
GUGAGUCAUCGAAUCUUUGAACGCACAUUGCGCCCCUCGGUAUUCCGUGGGGCAUGCCUGUUCGAGCGUCAUUUACCCCCUCAAGCCCAGCUUGGUGUUGGGUGCUUGUCCCGCCCCCGCGCGGCGACUCACCUCAAAGUCAUUGGCAGCCCGCAUCCGCCGGCCGAGAGCGCAGCACAGACGCGCCCGCGGCCCCGGCGGCUCGGCUCUCCAGAAGCUUAUCUUGACCACAAUUGACCUCGGAUCAGGUAGGGAUACCCGCUGAACUUAAGCAUAUCAAUAAGCGGAGGA